UUUGGGAUAUUCCCCAUAGAUGGAUUCGAUUUCUCCAACUGGAGCAGUUUCCUCCAUACGUGCUGCACUUCAGGUUCUGGCGGUGGGCUGCACGCCUGUGGAAACAGCUCGCCACUCACUUACAGUACCUGUGAGUUGAUAACUGGGCUGUGCUUCUCUGGGUCAUUAUCAGGCCAUGGGGCAGGACCUGGAGAGAGAGUGUCCAGCAAUGGAGACAAAGCCACUCAGGGGACCAGCUGGGAGGAGCUCCAGUUCAGGGGGAGUGGAGACAGUGGAGACAGGGAGUGGAGAACAAGACACAGGUGAAUGGAAUCACAGCAGAUGUGACAAAACAAGCAAAACUAAAGGCAAAGCACAAGGAACAGCAACUUACAAAAUAAAAGAGGAAGUGAGAUAACUAGAAUAACCUAACACAGGAGACUUGCUGGGCAAACUGACCCAGGACCAUGACACAAAUUAAUAAUCCCACUGCUGGCUAAUUAUUGAUAUAUUUCGAAAUAAGGUUCAUAGUAGUUUAAUUUAAUGGAAAUACCACGAUGUGUUGCUAC